rnacentral:rRNA from 1 species
AUUGAACGCUGGCGGCAGGCUUAACACAUGCAAGUCGAGCGGUAGCACAGGGGAGCUUGCUCCCUGGGUGACGAGCGGCGGACGGGCGAGUAAUGUCUGGGAAACUGCCUGAUGGAGGGGGAUAACUACUGGAAACGGUAGCUAAUACCGCAUAACGUCGCAAGACCAAAGAGGGGGACCUUCGGGCCUCUUGCCAUCAGAUGUGCCCAGAUGGGAUUAGCUAGUAGGUGGGGUAAUGGCUCACCUAGGCGACGAUCCCUAGCUGGUCUGAGAGGAUGACCAGCCACACUGGAACUGAGACACGGUCCAGACUCCUACGGGAGGCAGCAGUGGGGAAUAUUGCACAAUGGGCGCAAGCCUGAUGCAGCCAUGCCGCGUGUGUGAAGAAGGCCUUCGGGUUGUAAAGCACUUUCAGCGAGGAGGAAGGUGGUGAACUUAAUACGUUCAUCAAUUGACGUUACUCGCAGAAGAAGCACCGGCUAACUCCGUGCCAGCAGCCGCGGUAAUACGGAGGGUGCUAGCGUUAAUCGGAAUUACUGGGCGUAAGCGCACGCAGGCGGUUUGUUAAGUCAGAUGUGAAAUCCCCGGGCUCAACCUGGGAACUGCAUUUGAAACUGGCAAGCUAGAGUCUCGUAGAGGGGGGUAGAAUUCCAGGUGUAGCGGUGAAAUGCGUAGAGAUCUGGAGGAAUACCGGUGGCGAAGGCGGCCCCCUGGACGAAGACUGACGCUCAGGUGCGAAAGCGUGGGGAGCAAACAGGAUUAGAUACCCUGGUAGUCCACGCUGUAAACGAUGUCGAUUUGGAGGUUGUGCCCUUGAGGCGUGGCUUCCGGAGCUAACGCGUUAAAUCGACCGCCUGGGGAGUACGGCCGCAAGGUUAAAACUCAAAUGAAUUGACGGGGGCCCGCACAAGCGGUGGAGCAUGUGGUUUAAUUCGAUGCAACGCGAAGAACCUUACCUACUCUUGACAUCCAGAGAACUUUCCAGAGAUGGAUUGGUGCCUUCGGGAACUCUGAGACAGGUGUUGCAUGGCUGUCGUCAGCUCGUGUUGUGAAAUGUUGGGUUAAGUCCCGCAACGAGCGCAACCCUUAUCCUUUGUUGCCAGCGGUUCGGCCGGGAACUCAAAGGAGACUGCCAGUGAUAAACUGGAGGAAGGUGGGGAUGACGUCAAGUCAUCAUGGCCCUUACGAGUAGGGCUACACACGUGCUACAAUGGCAUAUACAAAGAGAAGCGACCUCGCGAGAGCAAGCGGACCUCAUAAAGUAUGUCGUAGUCCGGAUUGGAGUCUGCAACUCGACUCCAUGAAGUCGGAAUCGCUAGUAAUCGUAGAUCAGAAUGCUACGGUGAAUACGAUACCCGGGCCU